rnacentral:misc_RNA from 1 species
GGAAGGAUCAUUAACACUUUUUGGCUAUUGUAUCGAACAUGGACGUGCUUUUUUUUGAGGUGUCUUGAAGUUCUCACAGGAGUGGCGCAGGUCUGAUCUUUCCUCAGAUACUGCAUGGUUUUCGAGAACCUGCUCAGUUGACAGAAGGACACCACACCUGUGCCACUCCUGUGAGAACCUCAAGACACCUCAACACAAGGGACGUCCAUGUUCGAUACAAUAGCCCACUUUUUAUAUGAUCUUUUAUCGGAUCAUAUUAUUGAAGGUGCUCUCGAAAGGGAGUGCCGACAAUUUUACACCCGUGUGAACUCGUUCGUUUGGCUAGCACCCCCUCAGCCUUGGGUCUCCCGCUUUAUGUCUGUCCGUAUCGGUGGAAACGGAUGGAGACCCUUGUGCUUAUAAUGUUGGUUCCACCGUUUGUUUUCAUUAACAAACCCCAUUCAACUUUUGAUCUGAAUCCCUUUCUCCAUUCACUCUCCUCUGUGAGAUGUCGAGUGUCGAGACAAAAACCAUAAUCCAUAACAACUGUUAACAAUGGAUAUCUUGGCUCUUGCAUCGAUGAAGAACGCAGCGAACUGCGAUACGUAAUGUGAAUUGCAGAACUCCGUGAAUCAUCAAAUCUUUGAACGCAAGUUGCGCCAUCCGGGGUUACACCUGGGGGCAUGCCUCUGUUUGAGUGUUAUCAACUCUUCUCAUUCCCUUCUCUCUUGCGGGAGCAUUGGAAUGGAUACUGAGAGUCACAGUUUUCAUUAAUUGUGUCUCUUGAAAUGCUACCGAAGGACAUAUCCAACAUUUGCCCUUUCGCAACUCUGACGUGGUAGUUUUUUUUUCUACAUCCGUGUGGAGAGAGAAAUACUUUCGUUUCAGUAUGUGAACUUGGGUCAAGGAGUCGUGUCCUUUGAGACUCACGAGAAAUUACACUCUGUCUCUAUUCAUGAGCAUAACCUCAAAUCAGGUAAGACUACCCGCUGAAUUUAAGCAUAUUAUUAAGCGGAGGAAAAGAAACUAACUAGGAUUCCCUUAGUAACGGCGAGUGAACCGGGAAGAGCUCAAGCCUAAAUCGGGGAGUCCUGCUCUUCGAAUUGCAGUCUAUUGAUCCGGUUUUGAUCGGGGUCCAGGUGGAAGUCCUUUGGAACAAGGCAUCAUAGAGGGUGAGAGUCCCGUACGCAAUCUGGUAACCCCCCGACAGUACAGACCGAGAUCAGAGAGUCGGGCUGCUUGGGAUCGCAGCUCUAAGUGGGUGGUAAAUUCCAUCUAAGGCUAAAUAAUGGCAAGAGACCGAUAGCGAACAAGUAGCGUGAGCGAAAGAUGAAAAGAACUUUGAAAAGAGAGUUAAAAAGUACUUGAAAUUGUUAACAGGUAAGCGAUUGCUAUCAGUGAUCAGAUCGGUCAUUGGCGUCGGCCGUGUCGGAAUGGCUCGGGGACACACGGCAGAAGGCCUUGGGGAAGGUGGCUUGCUUGAAUCUCGGUUCUCGCGAGUGUUAUAGACCUGAGAGCGGAUACCGGUGUAUGGACUGAGGACUCGGAAGCGCACGGCCCCUUUGCGGGGGCCUGGGAACGCGCCCGCCUGCCUGGUCAGUGGAAAGUCACAGAAUCUGUGGCGGACUGCGGCUUGGGUACAGUGGGAAGCGCCGCACGUUGCGUUGAAGAUGUUGACAAAAUGGUUGCAACCGACCCGUCUUGAAACACGGACCAAGGAGUCUAACGUAUGUGCGAGUGUUAGGGUGACAAACCCAUAACGCGUAAUGAAAGUGAAGGUCCCCUGCGGGGGCUUACGUGGGAACCUGCCUCUGGGCAGGCGCACCAUGGGCCGACCAUGAUCUUUGUGAGAAAGGUUUGAGCAAGAGCACAUCCGUCGGGACCCGAAAGAUGGUGAACUAUGCCUGAGUAGAGUGAGGCCAGAGGAAACUCUGGUGGAGGCUCGUAGCGGUACUGACGUGCAAAUCGUUCGUCAAACUUGGGUAUAGGGGCGAAAGACUAAUCGAACCAUCUAGUAGCUGGUUCCCUC